rnacentral:lncRNA from 1 species
ACCAAUUUUGAAUUAAAUUAACAAUUGGAGAAGGAAAAAUCAUUGUUGGAAUAUUUAUAUCAACUUUCAAGUUGGCAACUAAGUAAUAUUAGUGUGAUUUUUGGGCAUUUUUUCAUGAUUUAUAAAUUGGAUUGGAGUGAAUUAUUUUUGAACAUAUAGAAUAAUUAUAGUGGCAUUUUUGUACAAAAUUUUGUUUCAAGUAGAUGGUUAGAUUAGGAGCUAUAAUUCUCUAAAGCUUGUUGAUUAAGAUUAAGGUUUGUAAAGAAAAUUCAAAAUUACUUAAUUAUGAAAGUAAUAAGGCAAAUCGAGUUUUUUUAUGAUUGAGACUACCAAGAAGAGUAUUUUUGAUAAUUUUUAUUGGAUUUAAGCACUUUUGAAUUAAAGUUCAAAUUACAUUCUUCUAAUAAGGGUGAUACAAAUUAGAAUUCUUAGAUACUUGUAAAACAAAAUCCUAUCUUCCAGAGUUAGAUGCUCGGUGCAUUUCCAAAUAGGACGACACAUAAUAUAACACCAUGUGAAAGCUAGAAGAUUAGAAGAAAGAAUUGAAACAAUAUCAAAGAUAGUUGAGAAGGCUCCUACAAAAAAUUUGUCUGCUUCUAU